rnacentral:snoRNA from 1 species
UGGGUGGAGUUAAAGUGGCAUAUUUUAAAAAAUUCCAAUGAUCUGUGUCUCUAGCGCUCCAAUAUCAACUUAGUUGGCGAACGGCAUCCUGUUUAAUUACUAAUAUUAAGACAGAUGACUUGUGUUCGUGUACAACU